GCUGGGCGUGGUGGCGGGCGCCUGUAGUCCCAGCUACUUGGGAGGCUGAGGCAGGAGAAUCGCUUGAAUCCGGGAGGCGGAGGUUGCAGUGAGCCGAGAUCCUGCCACUGCACUCCAGCCUGGGUGAUAGAGUGAGACUCUGUCUCAG
rnacentral:SRP_RNA from 1 species